CGACCGGCGCACGGGUGAGUAACGCGUAUGCAACCUACCUUUAACAGGAAGAUAGCCCCGGGAAAUCGGAAUUAAUACUCCAUAUCAUAUUUGAAUCGCAUGGUUUAAAUAUAAAAGCUCCGGCGGUUAAAGAUGGGCAUGCGUGACAUUAGUUUGUUGGUGAGGUAACGGCUCACCAAGACAUCAAUGUCUAGGGGUUCUGAGAGGAUUGUCCCCCACACUGGUACUGAGACACGGACCAG
rnacentral:rRNA from 1 species